rnacentral:rRNA from 1 species
AUACGUAGGGGGCAAGCGUUAUCCGGAUUUACUGGGUGUAAAGGGAGCGUAGACGGCGAUGCAAGUCUGAAGUGAAAACCCGGGGCUCAACCCCGCGGACUGCUUUGGAAACUGUGUUGCUGGAGUGCAGGAGAGGGGAGUGGAAUUCCUAGUGUAGCGGUGAAAUGCGUAGAUAUUAGGAGGAACACCAGUGGCGAAGGCGGCUCCCUGGACUGUAAAGGAUGUUGAGGAUGGAAGGCGGGGGGAGCAAAAAGGAUUAUAUGCCCUGGUAGUCCACGACGUAAACGAUGAAUGCUAGGUGUCGGGGGGCAAAGCCCUUCGGUGCCGCCGCUAACGCAUUAAGCAUUCCACCUGGGGAGUACGUUCGCAAGAAUGAAACUCAAAGGAAUUGACGGGG